rnacentral:rRNA from 1 species
ACCGGCGGCUCGAGUGGUGGCCACUAUUACUGGGCUUAAAGCGUUCGUAGCUGGCUUGUUAAGUCUCUGGGGAAAUCUUCGGGAUGAAUCGGAAGGGGCAGCAGGGAUACUGGCAGGCUAGGGACCGGAAGAGGUGAGAGGUACUCCAGGGGUAGGAGUGAAAUCCUGUAAUCCUUGGGGGACCACCUGUGGCGAAGGCGUCUCACCAGGACGGCUCCGACAGUGAGGAACGAAAGCUGGGGGAGCAAACCG